AUUGAACGCUGGCGGUAGGCCUAACACAUGCAAGUCGAGCGGCAGAACGGUGCUUGCUCCUUGUUACAGCGGCCGACGGGCGGGUGAGGCCUAAGAACCUCCCUGGCUGCGGGUGCUAACGUGCUGAAAUGGGCACUAUUACGCCAUUCCUGCUGACGGCCUAAGGGGGGGAGCUUCGGAUCUUCGGACCUUAGAUGAUUCGAUGUCGGAUUAGCUAGUUGGCGGGGUAAAGGCCUACCAAGGCGACGAUCCGUAGCUGGUCUGAGAGGAUGAUCAGUCACACUGGAACUGAGACACGGUCCAGACUCCUACGGGAGGCAGCAGUGGGGAAUAUUGGACAAUGGGCGAAAGCCUGAUCCAGCCAUGCCGCGUGGGUGAAGAAGGUCUUCGGGUUGUAAAGCACUUUUGGUUGGGAGGAAAAGCAGUAAGUUAAUACCUUGCUGUUUUGACGGUACCAACAGAAUAAGCACCGGCUAACUUCGUG
rnacentral:rRNA from 1 species